rnacentral:lncRNA from 1 species
GGUACCAAAUAUCUGAAAUAAAAAGAUAUCUGUCUACACAGUGGGAGAAGGAGGAUCCGCAGCCGAUACUAGGUCUGUCAGAACUUUGACUUUGAACUUUGAGCGUCUGGAUCUAUAAGAAAUGAAUGUUCUGUUUUUACCGACCCUAGAUAUCAGAUCCUAUUCUAGCAGAGCAAACUGGUUAAGACAAAGGGCCUCUUGAUAUAAACAUUGCUCAACUGCAGCAGAAAAUACAUGUUUUUGCAUGUAUGGGUCCUUGUCUGUCAAAUCUCAAAAGAUGCUAUCUUCCAUCUUCAUUUUAGGUCUAACAAAGCUGUGGCACCUUCUUUGCUGUCUCUUCAUCUUGUACACAUUGUUCUGAUGAUUUCCUCAUUUGAUUCAUCCUUCAGCAUGCACCUUGAAGUCACUUCCUCUGCAAAUGUCUCCCCACAACAGCCCCCUGAAAAAGAUGCAGAGGUCCUUUAUUCAACCCCCCGUUAUCAGCAUGACACUGGAUUCUUAUUUUCCAUUUACUUUUUCCCCCCAAAGUGUAAGGAAAACCCAUGUUUAUUCUUUAUAUUCCCACUACCCUCAGUGACUGGUACCCAGGAAGCAUUGGCUUCCUUCAAGUCUGUUGACUUAGUGCUCACACUCUCAUUUCUCAUUAUGAGCCUGGUGAUGUCUGAGGUAGCUUAAGUGGUCAUGGCUCUGCGUCUACACGUAAAUACCUGUCAAAAAUAGCCAAUGGUGAUGUCUUUAAUCUGGGGAAAAUUCCUCAUUUAACUAUUAAGUAAAAUAUAUAUUAAUUUUUAAAAAUUUAGCAUAUUAUUAGAGAAGAUUCUUU